GAUGAACGCUGACAGAAUGCUUAACACAUGCAAGUCAACUUGAACUUCGGUUUGGGUGGCGGACGGGUGAGUAACGCGUAAAGAACUUGCCUCACAGAUAGGGACAACAUUUGGAAACGAAUGCUAAUACCUGAUAUUAUGAUUAUAUGGCAUCGUAUAAUUAUGAAAGCCAUAUGCGCUGUGAGAGAGCUUUGCGUCCCAUUAGCUAGUUGGAGAGGUAACGGCUCACCAAGGCGAUGAUGGGUAGCCGGCCUGAGAGGGUGAUCGGCCACAAGGGGACUGGGACACGGCCCUUACUCCUACGGGAGGCAGCAGUGGGGAAUAUUGGACAAUGGACCAAGAGUCUGAUCCAGCAAUUCUGUGUGCACGAUGAAGUUUUUCGGAAUGUAAAGUGCUUUCAGUUGGGAAGAAAAAAAUGACGGUACCAACAGAAGAAGUGACGGCUAAAUACGUG
rnacentral:rRNA from 1 species